UAUUGCUAUGGUGUGAGGUCAUGGACCUCGACUGCUCAUUCAGUGUCCUUCCCCAGACCUCAUGGCGCCAGGGUGGGGUCCUUCUGUGCUCCUCUGUCAUUCCUUUCAGCAGGACCUGCCGGUUAUUGGCUGUGGGCAACUAGGCUGACCAGUGAAAUCUCCAGCAGGUGGAAAUACAGCAUUCAGUUUCCCAGAGCCCCAGUAGGUUUUCAUUCAAGAGGUGAAGAGAGUUUAAGAAGAUGAACUGAUUGCCAUGGAUGAGCAUCACUUAAGAAAUAUUGUUGUCUAGGAGAUGACCCCAGAUGGAUGCUUGAAGACGAGGUGGCAAGUGACAGAGGCCAGGCCAAUGGGCGGGACUUGCCACUCCAGGAGAAUGGUGGCACUUUGCGGUUGCCUGGUGACACCCAGUGAUGUUACACUGUGUUUGAUGAUGAUAUCCACACUCGACAGAGCUGCACACCCUGAGGCAGGCAGUUUGUCUCCUUGUCCCCAGGGAGACAGAGCCUCCAAAGGCCACUAGAUUUCUGUUGGGCCUGGCUUUUCCACUGGAUUUCUGAAAGCCAGGAAGUUCCCUAAGGAGGCGGAAUGAACAGAGGAGUAAGUUCAUUCAUUCGCUCGUUCCUUCCUUAAAGCUUUAUCAAAGGCCUGAUUUGUGCCUGGCUCCUUGUAAGAUGCUGAUGGCCUGGCCUCUGCCCUCGAGAAGGCCCAGUCUGACUGCAUAGAAAAGUCUCCACAGCAAAGGAGAAAUUGGAGCGGAAGGUCGGCCUUCCCACAGCCUGUCAGUGCAGCGGCAGCAGGAAAGGUGCCACCUGUCACACAGACAGAAGGGGACACGUCCUGGCCAGUCCGUGGAAAUGAGGCAGAAGGUAAGAACAGAGGCCAGUUGACGUCUCCCUGGCUGGUGUUGUGUAUACCCAACGAUUGACACCGCUGCGCUCCUCUGAGGUUCAUAGAGCACUAAUGGAGGCCUGCAUUAACCUGGGUGGUGAGCCUCCUGGACAGGUGUGAUGCUGCUCCUGACUUCAGGGGACUCUGAGAGUAACGGGAGGUUGAGCAACAAAUGCUGUCUCAAGGAAACUCUCCCAAGCGGUGGUGGACCCAGAGGACUGCAAAGGUGCCCAUCUCAGCCCAGGUAUUACUGAAUGUGAGGUCCACUACGCGGAGAUGGUGCUACAAAAGCAGGUGAAGGGCCGACAGGAGGAAGGAUGCUAUCCAAAAGCCUCAGAGGCUGAAAGGACUCAGUACAGUGUUGGCUAUUGUGGUGAGACAUGCUGGGGGACAGGCAUGCAGGCAGAGGGCCUGGCAGAGGGGAGAGGAUGAGAGGAGGCCAGCUGGAGUGGAAAGGAGGCGCCUAUCAAGGGGCGUGGAGGUCAGUCAGACCUGCUCCCUGGGUGGGAAAUGUGUGACAGAAGGUGCGGGCCUUGGCGGUGAGGGAGGAGGAAGGUCAAGGUGGGGGAGCUGGUGGGUGAUCUUCAGAUGGGUCUGAACAGCUUGAGGUGCCUGUGAGGGCUGUGGGGUGUCCGUGGGGCCCCCGACGUACAGGCCAGGCUGGAGAGAGAGGACUGCAGAUAGCGACGUGGGAGUCUCAGCUUAUCGACUGUGGUGAUGCUGUGAGAGGGGCUGACGUCACUCAGUAAGCAGGGAUUUGAGCCGUUUGGCAGUUUGAGGAAGGCUGCACAGUGAUUGCAGAAGCUGGCGGCUGGAAGGAGGUCACCUGUGUGUCCAUCUUGAAGUCCCGGAGGGCAGGAACUGUACUCACCAAUUUGCAUGCAUUGUAUAUAUAGUAGGUGCUUAGUAAAUGAUUGUAUUAGUAAGUGUUUAAUAAAUGAAUUUGGAACAAAGGAAGACAAA